AUUCUGCCCAUGCGGGAAAGGACGAGAAGCUUCGACCAAGGUUCGACUCGAGCGUCAGCGAGAGAGCGUUGCCGCAGGCAACGACCCGUAGGGCGAAGCGCGCAGCGCUGAGUAAUCCUUCCCCCACCACCA
rnacentral:sRNA from 1 species